GACGAACGCUGGCGGCGUGCUUAACACAUGCAAGUCGAACGGAAAGGCCCUGCUUUUGUGGGGUGCUCGAGUGGCGAACGGGUGAGUAACCCGUGAGUAACCUGCCCUUGACUUUGGGAUAACUUCAGGAAACUGGGGCUAAUACCGGAUAGGAGCUCCUGCUGCAUGGUGGGGGUUGGAAAGUUUCGGCGGUUGGGGAUGGACUCGCGGCUUAUCAGCUUGUUGGUGGGGUAGUGGCUUACCAAGGCUUUGACGGGUAGCCGGCCUGAGAGGGUGACCGGCCACAUUGGGACUGAGAUGCGGCCCAGACUCCUACGGGAGGCAGCAGUGGGGAAGAUUGCACAAUGGGCGGAAGCCUGAUGCAGCAACGCCGCGUGCGGGAUGACGGCCUUCGGGUUGUAAACCGCAUUCGCCUGUGACGAAGCGUGAGUGACAGUAAUGGGUAAAGAAGCACCGGCUAACUACGUG
rnacentral:rRNA from 1 species